CGAAAGUUACGCUAAUACCGCAUAUUCUGUGAGCAGGAAAGCGAGGGGAUCGCAAGACCUUGCGUUCUGGGAGCGGCCGAUGUCGGAUUAGCUAGUUGGUGGGGUAAAAGCCUACCAAGGCGACGAUCCGUAGCGGGUCUGAGAGGAUGAUCCGCCACACUGGGACUGAGACACGGCCCAGACUCCUACGGGAGGCAGCAGUGGGGAAUUUUGGACAAUGGGCGGAAGCCUGAUCCAGCCAUGCCGCGUGAGUGAAGAAGGCCUUCGGGUUGUAAAGCUCUUUCGGUGGGGAAGAAAUUGCACGGGUUAAUACCCUGUGUAGAUGACGGUACCCGACUAAGAAGCACCGGCUAACUACGUG
rnacentral:rRNA from 1 species